rnacentral:lncRNA from 1 species
CUCAGCACCUCCACCCUUUCCAGAAUCCCCCCAGGGCCUCGGUUUGCCUUAUACUCACUUCCUUUAUUUAUUGCUUCGUGACGAAUCAAAAGACAGAUAUUGACAGAGCACUUGCUGUAUAUUUAGCUCUGUAGCAAGCUCCGGAGAGGUCCAGGAAGGGUUGCUAACCUAGAAGGUUGCCAGCCUGGGUGGACAGGUGUCAUCCACAGACACGGACAUCCAGCCACUCCGACCCCGCAGCUCUCAUCCAGCCUAAGUGAAUAGCAGGGUUUUGGAGGAGAGAGAACGAUCAGGGCAGGAGUGGUUCAGGCAGUCUUCUUGGAGGAAGGGGCCUUGAAGGACAAGUAGGAUGGGCAGAAGGGACAAGAAAGGCAGUGUGGACAGAGGGCACAGCAGAGGAGUGACCAUGGUGUGCUCACUGGGGGCACCAAAGUAGAGACAGAUUGUGUGUGGGAAAUCUUGGGAGUGAAGACUGGGUUGAGAAGGUCAGGCCAGAUGCUAGAGACCCUUGAGAGCCAAAGACAGGAAUGUAGAUCAGACACGAUAGGAAACAGGGAGCCAGAGCAGGUUCUUGAGCAGGGGAGUGAAGGUUGAAAGGGAACGGAUGGGCCUCCUAUUUAUUUAGCAUUGACUGUAUUCCAGAUUCUAGCUAGGUGCUUAUUAGGUUUUCCCACUUAAUCCCCAAGCAUCCCGGUGAGACAUGCAUUGUUAUCUCCAUUUGAUAGAUGGGGAAACUGAGACUUGGAGAAGUUAAGUAAAUUCUCCAAGAUCACAGAAUUGAGGAGAAAGUGAGAAAACCGAAGUCUGCCUAACUCCAGAGUCCAUGCACCUGCCAGCACAACCCAUUGUCCCCCAAAGACAACGGGGGUCAGAGUUAGGCAGGAUCCUCUUUCCCUCCCCACCCCCACCCACCCCUUGGUGGAGUUUGCUUUAGGGGCUGGGAGCGUUUGGGGCCAGUGGAGGUGAAGCUGCCUCGGCAGGUUGAUUUUCCAGCUGCUCAUGGGAUGGAGGGAACAGGGACCAGACGGGACACUCGUCACCGGUCAGCAUAGGGAGAAGUCUGGAGGGCCAGGGUAAGUGAGAGGGAGCAGCCAGCGGUGACGCUGGGCUUUUGAGCCUCCCUGCCCAGGAGCAGGAGGCUGUUGACAGAACCUGAAGUCGCAGGAAGGAUGUGGACUGGCUUUGGAACAGGCUGAGCCUGGCGCAGUGGCCAAGUAGAAAAAGCCCCGGCUCUGAGCUCAGCGGAGAGGCCUGACCUCCAGGACUUUCCAGGCACUCUUUCCUGUCCCUUUGAGACUGGGGACGCCCAGAGAAUGGGGCCUGUGGUACCUCCUUCCUUGGCCUCCGCGCUGGCCCUCAGAGUGGGGCCUGGGCGGGGAGCAUCCUAGGAAGGCAGCCUCCCCCUCCCUCCUCUCCCUCCCCCUCCUCCAUCAGCCCUUGGCAUGCCCUUUGAGGCCCGGGAACCCAAGGACCAGCUCCUUCCUCUACAUCCCUACCAGGGCUGCUCCCCUGUCCUUGCUUGUCCCAGCCCCACCAGCCCUUGGGUUACCUGCGCAUGUCUCUUCCCCUCCCCAGGUCAUCCGUUUAUUCAACAGAUAUCUCUUGAGCACCAGGCCUUGUGCUGGGCCCUAAGGAUACAGCCAUGUCCUCAGAGAGCUUGCAUUCUAAUAGGGGAGGCCGAUAAUAACCAAGUAAUUAAAGAGAAACUCGUUUCAGGAGGAUCUUGAUGCCCCCUGGUCCCCAGACUCCUCUGCACAUCUGGACACAGGCUCCAGGGAACAUUCCAGAAGACCUGCCUUCAUUUACUGUCUCACGUUGAGAAGGAUUCUGGGGAGACUUUGGGAGACCCCCAAGGAAAUGACUAUUGUGGAAGAACUGCCUUGUUUUCCCUUUGGGGGGCCCUUUGUCCCCAGCCUGGUGUAGGGGUGUCUCUGUGUCAGGGGCUCUGUGAGGAGGGUAGCCCCUGACCAGGGUCACAUCGACACCUAGACAGACAUCUCAGGUCUGGAGAAAUUAAGGGAAGAAGGAAGGGAUUGAGGUGGUGGAGCAAGUGGACCAGCAGGUGACCUUUGCCCUCUGCCCUCCCCUCAAACCCUGCAGGAGCCCCUGGCUGCUCCAGCAAGGGGCGGGGGUGGGGGGACUCCAUCUGGGUGGGGCCGGUGGAAUCUGGCGGACCUCCUGGGGGCUGCCCUGGGGAUGGACGCCCAGCAGCGUUGGGAACAGACUGAGUCAGAUCCGGAGAGCGGCACAGGGCGGCCCAGCUGAGAUCACGGCCUGGUGGCUGGAGGUGGCCUCCCAGCUCGAGUCCUCCACCCCCAGCUGGUGUCCAUCCAGAGAGCCCUCCGACACGCACCAGGCGCCUUCCCGGCGUCAGUGUAGCACUCCUGGGACGCAAGAUGCUCAGAGCCAAGACCAGGCCGUGACUGGGCUCCAAUCUCCACCCUUCCCGUGUGCCCAAAUUGACGGAGGCGUGACCCUGCCCUCACGGAGCCCCCAGUCUGAGAGAAGAUGAGAAGAUGGAGACGCACUUAAAGAACACAAAGAUGAAGGGGUCUGCCCAGUGGCAUAGCAGUAAAGUUCACGUACUCUGCUUUGGCGGCCCAGGGUUCGUGGGUUCGGAUCCCGGGCAUGGACCUAGCACUGCUGGUCAAGCCACACUGUAGAGGCAUCCCACAUGAAACAGAGGAAGACUGGCACAGAUGUUAGCUCAGGGCCAUUCUUCCUCACCAAAAAAACCCUCAAACCCCCCACAAAGAUGAAGGUCAAAAGGAAACCCCCCAGUGGACCAGGUCAGGGAGAGACGCACUGUGCCCAAGAGCCUAGGGCAGGCACUGUCCUGACACGAAGCGGCCAUGGGUGCCCGUGUGGGUCAGCUCGCUCGUGGCUCCUUCGUCCAGAAGCCCGGCCUCUGACCCCCUUGUACCCACAGUGCACUGAGGCUGGGAGUUGUGCAAGGGUCAGCAGGCAGGGUGGCGGGCUGGCUGGGGAGGGGAGAUUCCUGUCUCCUGCCCCAGCUCCCUGAGGCCUUCCCUCCCGCAGCCUUGGCCUCGGUGCGCAGCAAGCUGUUGGAGCUUGUUUGGCCUAAGGGUUCGCACCCUGCCUCCUCCCCCUCGCCUUCCUGCUCAAGAACAGCAGCCAGAGGCCUGAGACGGAGGAAAGCCAGGGGCUGGUGGUGGGCCGGGGCACUGCUGAGUCCCUAAGUCCAAGGGGAGUACGAAAGGCCCCCCCGCCCCCCCCCCCCGACAGAACCUUGUGCUGGGAGGCGCCCUGCCUGAGGGGGGCAUCAGUGAGCCUCCAGCAGGAAAGACAGGGCUGAGCCUGGGGCUCAGAAACACUUGAUUUCAGGCCAUGAAAAUCAGAGAGCUCCUGAGAGAGAUGUGGCUGAGUGGUUUUCUAACAGUCCCAGCCAUCUCCAGGUGCCACGGGCUGCCUUGAGAGGGAGGGAGCUGCCCAAUGCAGAGACAUUCAAGUAGAGGCCACAGAAGUUAAUCAUCUUCUCACUGACUAUUCAUUGAGUCCCUUCUGGAGGUGGCCCAGUCCAGGCAGUGAGUGGGGAGGCAGUGUUGAACCACGUGAUAGUUUAAAGUCCCUUCCAGUGCUGAGAUCCAAGACAGCAUCAAUCAGGGCAGGGUUCUCAGAGGAGGUGGCAGGGACAAAAAGAAAGGGUUUCUACAAGGGGCCAGGGAUUGGAGCUUACCAAGCCUGGGGCAAGCUGCCUAGACACCAGCCCCCACCCCAGGGGGUGUAGGGGCUUAGGUCCUGGGGGUGCAGGGCGGGGAAGGGGAGCCAGACAGCUUCUUAGAAAGUGGCAGGCAGGUGAGCAGAGCUCCCCAGUGAUAAUUAAGGAACAAAGGUGCCGAGGAGCAGGGAGCCUGCGCAGCCCUCUGGGGCAGGCGGGCUAAUGGGAGCCUGGAGGAGAGGUAAUAACAAGCGGAGAACUGAGCAGACAGCCCGGCGUCACUACGCCCACAAGCCGCCCCCUCGCCCUCCUGCGCCAGAACAAUAACUGAGCACCCAGCUGGGGGUGAAAAUAUAUGGAUAACACACAGGCGAGCUGGAACCCAGGCGCGCUGCACCCAGGUUGCUGCAGGGGAGAGGGGGCCGGGGUGGGGAACAGAUGAGCC